AUUGAACGCUGGCGGCAGGCCUAACACAUGCAAGUCGAACGAGUGGCGGACGGGUGAGUAAUGUCUGGGAAACUGCCUGAUGGAGGGGGAUAACUACUGGAAACGGUAGCUAAUACCGCAUACCAUCGGAUGUGCCCAGAUGGGAUUAGCUUGUAGGUGGGGUAAAGGCUCACCUAGGCGACGAUCCCUAGCUGGUCUGAGAGGAUGAUCAGCCAACCUGGAACGGAGACACGGUCCAGACGCCUACGGGAGGCAGCAGUGGGGAAUAUUGCACAAUGGGCGCAAGCCUGAUGCAGCCAUGCCGCGUGUAUGAAGAAGGCCUUCGGGUUGUAAAGUACUUUCAGCGGGGAGGCGUUACCGGCAGAAGAAGCACCGGCUAACUCCGUGCCAGCAGCCGCGGUAAUAC
rnacentral:rRNA from 1 species